CAUUAAUGAUUGCGAAUGGUUGCCUUCAGUGCUGGCUCUCAAGAGCAGGUGCACGUUGGCGGCUUUCAUCCAAUCCCCACACCCUUGUGAACCUUUGGCCUCUUGCUAGCUUCGGCUGGCAGAGGAUUUUACACAUACUCGAAUGUAAUGAAAACUAUUGUUGUGCGCAAGCACUAAUAUACAACUUUCAACAACGGAUCUCUUGGCUCUCGCAUCGAUGAAGAACGCAGCGAAAUGCGAUAAGUAAUGUGAAUUGCAGAAUUCAGUGAAUCAUCGAAUCUUUGAACGCACCUUGCACCCUUUGGAAUUCCGAAGGGUAUGCUCGUUUGAGUGUCAUUGUACUCUCACACUCUCCGAUCCUUUGGAUUUGGGGAGCAGUGGACUUGGGUGCUUGCUGCUUUCCUUGUGGCUCACCUUAAAUGUGUCAGUGCAUCUCUUGAUUGGACAUAGUACGGCGUGAUAAGUGUCUUCGCCGGCACCUCAUAAGAGGGUGGCCGAUUGGGAGCUCUGUGCUUUCAAACCGUCUUCGGACAAUUCCUGACAACUUGACCUCAAAUCGAGUAGGACUACCCGCUGAACUUAAGCAUAUCAAUAAGCGGAGGAAAAGAAACUAACAAGGAUU
rnacentral:rRNA from 1 species